rnacentral:misc_RNA from 1 species
GAAAUGCGAUAAGUAAUGUGAAUUGCAGAAUUCAGUGAAUCAUCGAAUCUUUGAACGCACAUUGCGCCCGCCAGUAUUCUGGCGGGCAUGCCUGUUCGAGCGUCAUUUCAACCAUCAAGCCCCCGGCUUGUGUUGGGGACCUGCGGCUACCCGCAGGCCCUGAAAAACAGUGGCGGGCUCGCUGUCACACCGAGCGUAGUAGCAUACAUUCUCGCUCAGGGCGUGCUGCGGGUUCCGGCCGUUAAACGACCUUCAUAACCCAAGGCUGACCUCGGAUCAGGUAGGAAGACCCGCUGAACUUAAGC